UACGGGGGGGCAAGCGUUGUUCGGAAUUACUGGGCGUAAAGGGCUCGUAGGCGGCCAACUAAGUCAUACGUGAAAUCCCUCAGCUUAACUGGGGAACUGCGUGUGAUACUGGAUGGCUUGGAUUUGGGAGAGGGAUGCGGAAUUCCAGGUGUAGCGGUGAAAUGCGUAGAUAUCUGGAGGAACACCGGUGGCGAAGGCGACGUCCUGGACCGGCAUUGACGCUGAGGAGCGAAAGCUAGGGGAGCAAACGGGG
rnacentral:rRNA from 1 species